CAAAGAACCGUUUAGGAAGUUUAUUAACAGACUGGAGUGGCAAACGACAGCCGCUGCUCGGGCCUGGAAACUGCAACAGAGAGGGAUGGGAGAGAGAGGUGAGUCCAGACUUGCGGAUAGCUGUGUUCUAGGCCACCAGGGUUUCGAAGGCUGGAGACUGGAAGACCGUUGGAGGGCAGACAGGUUUGGCUCGGCGGGGCUCAGACGGAUUGCCAGCUGACUGCUGGCUCCAGCCCCCACCACCACCACCAACACCACCGCCAGCCUCCCCUCCUCCAUCUCGCUCCUCUUUCUCUCCCGAAGAAGAAAAAAGCUGGAGAAAAAGAGCUCUUUGAGGGACAAAGCUGACAGAACCGCACACAGACAAAUACAGCGAGCACCAACUAAACAGUAAAUGUGGAAAAAGGACGUGCAAGCUAUGCACCACCAUAUCCUCACUCCAUCUCUCUUUCUCAUUAUCUCAAUUUUUUACAUCUUUCUUCAUACCUGAUUUGAGUCGGGGACGAGAUUGUAUUCCUGGAUCGCUUUAAUUACCCACUUAAAAAGUAAUACCAUGAGGAACACUGUUACACCGGACCCUGUUCUGAUGAAGACCCAAACCGGGCUUCCUUUCUUGACCUAAAGGCCAAGCUCUGAUGCUGGAAUUGUUCCUGCCCGUUGUCUGGUCUCAGAGUGAUCCUCGUUCAAAGACCAAAAUCCAAGCCUACUGCAAUUUCUCUGAAUUAAACCCAAGCUGGCGGCUACCUGGCUCACACACAUCCACAGAUCUCUCCACCCUGAGCUCCUCGCCAUCACGUCGAGUACUGAGCCAAACUAAGACCUCCUGGAACUCACUGCCAAGGAUCAAGUGGUUCAACUUACCGGGAUCAAGCUCACUCCUCCAGUCGACCUCUGUCGGCACUCUCCAUCCCUCUUCUCCCCCUGGCGAUUCACUUCAAACUCCUAUUGGCAAUUUCCCGGUUCCAGAAAAAACCUUAUUUUCAAUAAAC